CGAGCGCAACCCUUGUCCUUAGUUACCAGCACGUUAUGGUGGGCACUCUAAGGAGACUGCCGGUGACAAACCGGAGGAAGGUGGGGAUGACGUCAAGUCAUCAUGGCCCUUACGGCCUGGGCUACACACGUGCUACAAUGGUCGGUCAAAGGGUUGCCAAGCCGCGAGGUGGAGCUAAUCCCAUAAAACCGAUCGUAGUCCGGAUCGCAGUCUGCAACUCGACUGCGUGAAGUCGGAAUCGCUAGUAAUCGUGAAUCAGAAUGUCACGGUGAAUACGUUCCCGGGCCUU
rnacentral:rRNA from 1 species